GCAGUAACAGUAGUAGACACUCAGGCAGGAUGUGAGCUACGGAAGCCUGCAGGAAUCAGUGUGAGGCUUCAGCGUGAGCUGGAAGAAGUUCCUGAAUAUGAAAACACAAAUGAUGCUUUUUGCACCAAAAUGUUCUAUUUUUUUGUUCAGUAUUUGCAGAUUGUUGACGGUGUUUUGUUGCUUGUUUUCAGACAUGUUUGAAGGAAAGUUCUACGGAGUCCAGGAGUGACCACAGGAAACAAACUAAUUAAUUCUCGGGAUUUCAGUGUUUUGACACCAAACGUUCAGUCGGUCAGAAAUUUGAAGAAAGCGACUAUAGCGUCAGUGACUGAUCCAAGCUGGAUCCAAGGCAUCAGGAAGUGCUCCACAACCAUGGAUGAGUUUUUAUGAACUGGUGAAAAAGGCUGUUAUCCUGUAGAACAUAUUUAAGGGAUGAACACAGAACUCAGUGUACUUCCACAUAUCUGAGUCCAAGAUCAAAAUGAAACCUUGUGGAUCCACAGUGAGGGUGCAGGCAGGAUGAGAGGACGGCAUGCGGGAAUCCUGAGAACAAGUUCUUUAUUUUUUUCUCUGCGGACCCUCCUGGCCUCCAUAAAGUUCACAUCAGGUCUCAUGCAAGAACAUUUCCUUCUCCUAAACAUCUCUGAUGUUUCUCCCAGAAAUGUGUUCGUACAAGUGAUCCAACAAACUCUCAACGUGACAAACUUGUUUUUAAAUCUCUGGUUUCAGCCUGAUGAACGUCACCUGAAACCAGCAGACACAUUGAUCAGUGAUCAAUUGCUCCGUUACUGAUAUGAGAGGAGGUCAUGUGACAGUCAGAGAUAUUAGAGGAGAGAAUAUCACAGCAGCUGAUGUUACACUGUCAACACAACAUGAUGCUGCAGCUGUUUACUGCUGACACAAACAUCUGCACAUCAGGAAACUGGCAGCGUGAUGAUGAUGAUGAUGAUGAUGAACAGGGACGUCGGACUGGAUGGGGAACGUAGAAGAUGAAGGACUCUGACAUCAGCAGCGUCUGUUUCCCAGGCUCCCUCAGCACGCCGCACACACUGCAUCAUGGGAACAGAGAGAGGGAGAGCUGCUGCUGCUGGGAGUCAGGCUGUGGUCAACUGGGCUGAUGGUUAAACUGGUUUCCCGUGGAAAACCUCCUCCUCCUCCUCCGUCAGCGUGAGUUCAUGUGCGCUGAGUUAAAGAGUUAAACUGGAGGUUUUUGUCCACUAAUUAAAUCUUUUUACUUCACAUUCCUGCUGCAUCGUUUCCAAAGUCCCUCCCUCAGCUUUUACAGUAAUGUCCUUCCUUCCAGGCAGCCGUUAGUUUCACUUUAUUCACACAGAAAUCAGCCUGCAGAGAGAAAAUCCUUCACAGUCCAUGUUUAGUCUUUAUCACUUCAUAUACAUCUCUCUCCCCGUGUUUCCUGUGA